rnacentral:rRNA from 1 species
GGGUUGUGAGGUUAAGCGACUAAGCGUACACGGUGGAUGCCUAGGCAGUCAGAGGCGAUGAAGGGCGUGCUAAUCUGCGAAAAGCGUCGGUAAGCUGAUAUGAAGCGUUAUAACCGACGAUACCCGAAUGGGGAAACCCAGUGCAAUACGUUGCACUAUCGUUAGAUGAAUACAUAGUCUAACGAGGCGAACCGGGGGAACUGAAACAUCUAAGUACCCCGAGGAAAAGAAAUCAACCGAGAUUCCCCCAGUAGCGGCGAGCGAACGGGGAGGAGCCCAGAGUCUGAAUCAGUUUGUGUGUUAGUGGAAGCGUCUGGAAAGUCGCACGGUACAGGGUGAUAGUCCCGUACACCAAAAUGCACAGGCUGUGAACUCGAUGAGUAGGGCGGGACACGUGACAUCCUGUCUGAAUAUGGGGGGACCAUCCUCCAAGGCUAAAUACUCCUGACUGACCGAUAGUGAACCAGUACCGUGAGGGAAAGGCGAAAAGAACCCCGGCGAGGGGAGUGAAAUAGAACCUGAAACCGUGUACGUACAAGCAGUGGGAGCACCUUCGUGGUGUGACUGCGUACCUUUUGUAUAAUGGGUCAGCGACUUAUAUUUUGUAGCAAGGUUAACCGAAUAGGGGAGCCGUAGGGAAACCGAGUCUUAACUGGGCGUCUAGUUGCAAGGUAUAGACCCGAAACCCGGUGAUCUAGCCAUGGGCAGGUUGAAGGUUGGGUAACACUAACUGGAGGACCGAACCGACUAAUGUUGAAAAAUUAGCGGAUGACUUGUGGCUGGGGGUGAAAGGCCAAUCAAACCGGGAGAUAGCUGGUUCUCCCCGAAAGCUAUUUAGGUAGCGCCUCGUGAACUCAUCUUCGGGGGUAGAGCACUGUUUCGGCUAGGGGGCCAUCCCGGCUUACCAAACCGAUGCAAACUCCGAAUACCGAAGAAUGUUAUCACGGGAGACACACGGCGGGUGCUAACGUCCGUCGUGAAGAGGGAAACAACCCAGACCGCCAGCUAAGGUCCCAAAGUCAUGGUUAAGUGGGAAACGAUGUGGGAAGGCACAGACAGCCAGGAUGUUGGCUUAGAAGCAGCCAUCAUUUAAAGAAAGCGUAAUAGCUCACUGGUCGAGUCGGCCUGCGCGGAAGAUGUAACGGGGCUAAACCAUGCACCGAAGCUGCGGCAGCGACACUUUAGGUGUUGUUGGGUAGGGGAGCGUUCUGUAAGCCGUUGAAGGUGACCUGUGAGGGUUGCUGGAGGUAUCAGAAGUGCGAAUGCUGACAUAAGUAACGAUAAUGCGGGUGAAAAACCCGCACGCCGGAAGACCAAGGGUUCCUGUCCAACGUUAAUCGGGGCAGGGUGAGUCGACCCCUAAGGCGAGGCUGAAAAGCGUAGUCGAUGGGAAACAGGUUAAUAUUCCUGUACUUGGUGUUACUGCGAAGGGGGGACGGAGAAGGCUAGGCUGGCCGGGCGACGGUUGUCCCGGUUUAAGCGUGUAGGGGGAGUGACCAGGUAAAUCCGGUUGCUUAUCAACCCUGAGGCGUGAUGACGAUGCACCACGGUGCAGAAGCAGUUGAUGCCAUGCUUCCAGGAAAAGCCUCUAAGCAUCAGGUAACAUUAAAUCGUACCCCAAACCGACACAGGUGGUCAGGUAGAGAAUACUCAGGCGCUUGAGAGAACUCGGGUGAAGGAACUAGGCAAAAUGGUGCCGUAACUUCGGGAGAAGGCACGCUGGCGUUAGGUGAAAGGACUAGCUCCUGGAGCUGAAGCCAGUCGCAGAUACCAGCUGGCUGCAACUGUUUAAUAAAAACACAGCACUGUGCAAACACGAAAGUGGACGUAUACAGUGUGACGCCUGCCCGGUGCUGGAAGGUUAAUUGAUGGGGUCAGCCGCAAGGCGAAGCUCUUGAUCGAAGCCCCAGUAAACGGCGGCCGUAACUAUAACGGUCCUAAGGUAGCGAAAUUCCUUGUCGGGUAAGUUCCGACCUGCACGAAUGGCGUAAUGAUGGCCAGGCUGUCUCCACCCGAGACUCAGUGAAAUUGAACUCGCUGUGAAGAUGCAGUGUACCCGCGGCAAGACGGAAAGACCCCGUGAACCUUUACUAUAGCUUGACACUGAACAUUGAGCCUUGAUGUGUAGGAUAGGUGGGAGGCCUUGAAGUGUGGACGCCAGUCUGCAUGGAGCCAACCUUGAAAUACCACCCUUUAAUGUUUGAUGUUCUAACUCGGCCCCAUGAUCUGGGGUGAGGACAGUGUCUGGUGGGUAGUUUGACUGGGGCGGUCUCCUCCCAAAGAGUAACGGAGGAGCACGAAGGUUAGCUAAUCACGGUCGGACAUCGUGAGGUUAGUGCAAAGGCAUAAGCUAGCUUGACUGCGAGAGUGACGGCUCGAGCAGGUACGAAAGUAGGUCUUAGUGAUCCGGUGGUUCUGAAUGGAAGGGCCAUCGCUCAACGGAUAAAAGGUACUCCGGGGAUAACAGGCUGAUACCGCCCAAGAGUUCAUAUCGACGGCGGUGUUUGGCACCUCGAUGUCGGCUCAUCACAUCCUGGGGCUGAAGUAGGUCCCAAGGGUAUGGCUGUUCGCCAUUUAAAGUGGUACGCGAGCUGGGUUUAGAACGUCGUGAGACAGUUCGGUCCCUAUCUGCCGUGGGCGUUGGAAGAUUGAGAGGGGCUGCUCCUAGUACGAGAGGACCGGAGUGGACGAAUCACUGGUGUUCGGGUUGUCAUGCCAAUGGCAUUGCCCGGUAGCUAAAUUCGGAAGAGAUAACCGCUGAAAGCAUCUAAGCGGGAAACUUGCCUCGAGAUGAGUCUUCCCUGGGGCUUAAAGCCCCCUGAAGGAACGUUAAAGACUAUGACGUUGAUAGGCUGGGUGUGUAAGUGCAGCGAUGUAUUGAGCUAACCAGUACUAAUGAUCCGUGAGGCUUAACCUUACAACACCGAAGGUGUUU